rnacentral:rRNA from 1 species
CGGGGGGGGGGGGCAAGCGUUGUUCGGAAUUACUGGGCGUAAAGGGCGCGUAGGCGGCCUGACAAGUCCCUCGUGAAAUCCCACAGCUCAACUGUGGAACUGCGGGGGAUACUGCCGGGCUUGAGUCCGGGAGAGGAGAGUGGAAUUCCCAGUGUAGCGGUGAAAUGCGUAGAUAUUGGGAGGAACACCGGUGGCGAAGGCGGCUCUCUGGACCGGUACUGACGCUGAGGCGCGAAAGCUAGGGGAGCAAACGGGAUUAGAUACCCCGGUAGUCCUAGCUGUAAACGUUGAGCACUUGGUGUGGCGGGUAUCGACCCCUGCCGUGCCGAAGCUAACGCAUUAAGUGCUCCGCCUGGGGAGUACGGUCGCAAAGGCUG